rnacentral:rRNA from 1 species
GGCCAGACUCCUACGGGAGGCAGCAGUGGGGAAUAUUGGACAAUGGGGGAAACCCUGAUCCAGCGACGCCGCGUGAGUGAAGAAGUAUUUCGGUACGUAAAGCUCUAUCAGCAGGAAAGAAAAUGACGGUACCUGACUAAGAAGCCCCGGCUAACUACGUGCCAGCAGCCGCGGUAAUACGUAGGGGGCAAGCGUUAUCCGGAUUUACUGGGUGUAAAGGGGGCGCAGACGGCGAUGCAAGCCAGGAGUGAAAGCCCGGGGCCCAACCCCGGGACUGCUCUUGGAACUGCGUGGCUGGAGUGCAGGAGGGGCAGGCGGAAUUCCUGGUGUAGCGGUGAAAUGCGUAGAUAUCAGGAGGAACACCGGUGGCGAAGGCGGCCUGCUGGACUGCAACUGACGUUGAGGCCCGAAAGCGUGGGGAGCAAACAGGAUUAGAUACCCGAGUA